rnacentral:rRNA from 2 species
CUCGGAUCAGGUAGGGAUACCCGCUGAACUUAAGCA